AAAAAUUAUUCCAAUGAGAAGAGAGCUGCCUAUGUGGCUGCAUGGGGAACUCAUGAAUAAAUUCAUCUUAAAAAAAUAUGUGUGUGUGUCUGUGUCUGUGUAAUCAUCUUUAGAGCAUGCCCAGAUCAUUUACCAUAGAGAUAUCCAGACAGGCCAUUGGAAUAUGCCUAGAUUGCCUAACAUGGAGGCAUUCUUCCCCUUUUACCAUAUGGGUAGGAAAAGCCUUCUUUGAUUAGCUGCAAAGCCAUAAAGACUACAUCUUUAAAAUUGGCAGUACAACAAACUCUUUCUGGUCAAGCUUUUUUUUUUCUGAGUGGUUCUCUUUCAUGCUGUGUCCAGUUAGGUCUGUUCAUAGUGGGGCCACCAUGAACAGAACCAGUAAGAAGGCAAGCAGUUCCUUCCCCUGCUCCCUCUUUUAGCUCAGCUCUAAACAAUGGGCUGGGGUGUUUGUCUUGUUCAGUUUUGUCUGUCUUUUUCAGGUUCAGGUUCAAGCAGCAAUCCCACUACACCUGGGAAUUUGAGUCAUAGGAAACUCAAAGGGAGGAAGUCCUUGAGAAAAGGAGAAGCUACCUUCAAAGCACAAUCCUAGGAUGGCCUAGUCCUUAAGAUGUGUUUUUUAGUCUGUCUUGAUGUGAGCAGAAAAACUGGUCCAUGCUCAGCUU
rnacentral:lncRNA from 1 species